CAAGACGUAGCUAUAACCCUAAAGCACUCAGCUUACGCCUGAGAGAUAUCUGCCCACCAGAUCGCCUUGA
rnacentral:tRNA from 1 species